CCUACGGUGGGCAGCAGUGAGGAAUAUUGGUCAAUGGACGAGAGUCUGAACCAGCCAAGUAGCGUGAAGGAUGACUGCCCUAUGGGUUGUAAACUUCUUUUAUAUGGGAAUAAAACAGGGUAUGCAUACACUCUUGUAUGUACCAUAUGAAUAAGGAUCGGCUAACUCCGGGCCAGCAGCCGCGGUAAUACGGAGGAUCCGAGCGUUAUCCGGAUUUAUUGGGUGUAAAGGGCGCGUAGGUGGAUUGUUAAGUCAGUUGUGAAAGUUUGCGGAUCAACCGUAAAAUUGCAGUUGAAACUGGCAGUCUAGAGUACAGUAGAGGUGGGCGGAAGUCGUGGUGUAGCGGUGAAAUGCUUAGAUAUCACGAAGAACUCCGAUUGCGAAGGCAGCUCACUGGACUGCAACUGACACUGAUGCUCGAAAGUGUGGGGAUCAAACAGGAUUAGAUACCCGAGUAGUC
rnacentral:rRNA from 1 species